GGUCCCGCCUGGCCCUGUGACUAAAUGUUUAACGGCCGCGGUAUUUUGACCGUGCGAAGGUAGCGCAAUCACUUGUCUUUUAAAUGGAGACCUGUAUGAAUGGCAUAACGAGGGCUUAGCUGUCUCCUCUCUCAAGUCAAUGAAACUGAUCCCCCCGUGCAGAAGCGGGGAUCCCCCCAUAAGACGAGAAGACCCUAUGGAGCUUUAGACAUAAAGUAGAUCACGUUAAGAACCCUCCCUUAAGAGCCAAAACAAAAUGAUCCCUACCGAAAUGUCUUUGGUUGGGGCGACCGCGGAGAAAAACAAAUCCUCCAUGUGGACCGGGGCCAAGAGCCCUAUAACCAAGAGCCACCGCUCUAGGUAUUAGAAACUUUUUAACCUACCAGAUCCGGCCAGGCCGAUCAACGAACCGAGUUACCCUAGGGAUAACAGCGCAAUCCCCUUCCAGAGCCCAUAUCGCCAAGGGGGUUUACGACCUCGAUGUUGGAUCAGGACAUCCUAAUGGUGCAGCCGCUAUUAAGGGUUCGUUUGUUCAACGAUUAAAGUCCUACGUGAUC
rnacentral:rRNA from 1 species